GACGUAGGGCGCAAGCGUUGUCCGGAUUUAUUGGGCGUAAAGAGCUCGUAGGCGGCCUGUCGCGUCGACCGUGAAAACCCGCAGCUCAACUGCGGGCUUGCGGUCGAUACGGGCAGGCUGGAGUUCGGUAGGGGAGACUGGAAUUCCUGGUGUAGCGGUGAAAUGCGCAGAUAUCAGGAGGAACACCGGUGGCGAAGGCGGGUCUCUGGGCCGAUACUGACGCUGAGGAGCGAAAGCCAGGGGAGCAAACGGG
rnacentral:rRNA from 1 species